AGAGAGAUCCUCCCUGUGUCAGUCCCUCAGGAUUUUCAUUUAUCAGCCCCCCAAGGGCUGGAGGUGAUGGCACAGCAAAGCAUAUUUAUUUUUUCCUGUGACACUAGAGAAAUACAGAAAACGAUAUUGCUCAUCUACUUCCUCUGGCUUUCCACAACUCUGUCACACUUAGGCAAGAUGUCCCCAAGGAAAGGGAUCAAAGCUAGUUAUGACAUUCAAAUGUCAAAAUAGUGAGGCAUGCCUUUUAACAAUACCUGGUAAGAAUAUUCUGGUAAGAAUUUUUAUCAAUGCACAUUUUUUAGCAGAAAAUUCUUUUCUCGAGAGACUCCCAUUUUUAAACCAAAAGGUGAUCAAUACUGUAGAACACCCAAAUGUCAAUCAAAACCAUUCUGUCUAGCCAGCAUUCAUUUGUUUCCACAUCAUAAGACUGGCUCUCCCUACUUUGUCUUUGUGGCUGGUUUGCUAUGUCUCUAUGCAGCAAAGGACUAGUUCAUGUUGGAAAACUUGUUUAAUCUUUUAAUUUCUGUUCUUUUAGAAUAUAUAAUUGUUACAACAUGCAAAAGGCUCAAGUUCAAAGUGAUGAGUCUGACAAUUUUAUAUUCAGCUAUAACUAUCAUUCAAAAGAACAUAUAAAACAUUUCUAUCAGCCAGAGCUUUCUUCCUGCUGUCAUAACUUAGACUGUGCAGGAAGAAACACUUUCAGACUGAUUUUAACUUGCUGUAAGCUCUUGAUAUUUUCCUGCCAGUCACGUGUCUGUAUGUGUUUGUAAUGGCAUCUACUGUGCUUAAUCAAGUUAUAUAGGUGUAUAUGUAUUAUACACCUAUAAGUGUUAUAUAGAGUUAUAUAGGUUAUAUGCAUUUAACUUUCUGUUAUGAUUAAGGAUUGGGGCAUUUGCGAAGAAUACCUUGUAUACCCCAAGGUCAAACAUGGCUAACUGGAAGAUCUCUUAGGAGCCAAGGUCAAUUAUCAUUCUGGCCUAGGAGCCACGCUUUUGUCUGUGGUAGAAACAUAAUUAAUUUUUGUGACUAGGAUGAGAUAUAACCUUUUACAAAAUUUAUUAUUUCAUUUAUUCAUUGAAUUUCUUUAGCCCUGUUAUCACACCAAAGACAGGACCUGUAUGGAUCUAUUUCUGGCCUUUUAAAUUUUUAUUCUAUUUGCCUGUUUGAUUUAUAUUACAUGUACUAGUGAAAAACCAUCAUAAUUAUUGAAGCUUUGCAGGGAAGUUGAAAUAAAAUACAUAAAUUUUGAGGGUUUCUUGCUUUUGUAUGCGUUUUAUAGCUAAUUGCUCUUCUAUACACAUUAAAGAUUUAGCCAAUUUUGGUAUAGAUAGACAUGAAUUUAGAGGUCAAUUUAAAAAGAAUAGCACAUUAGCCAAGUAGAAUGAAUAUAUUAAUGAAGUGAAAGAUCAUUUGAAGGACUCAAAUGGAAAGUACUAAAACUGGUAUAUUUGUAAAGUUGAGCUAUUAUUUUCCGGUUAUAUUUUAGAAUUUUUAAAGUAGAACUCUUGAACAAGGCUAUUAGAUUUAUAUUCAACUCUUGAGUAUUGCUAUAAUCUAAAAUGUUACUUUAACUUGUGUUUUGAUUUAUGUACUAAUAUUGUAUAAGAUUAAUAGUUUUUAAAAGAGUAUCUUUCAUGUUGUAACUUUGCCAAAUUAAUUUUUUGGUGUUAUUUAUUAUUUGCAAUAACUUACUUGAAAGCAUUGUGUUGUAUUCCUUUUCUGAAUUAAUACAUUUUAUUUAUUUUUCUUGCUUUAUUACACUAGCUAACAUUUUGAAAAAAAAAGCAUGAAUUCAUAUGAAGGAAAACCACAUCCAAAUAUCUAUGCUCUGGGGUGAAGAAGAAAACUAACAGUUCUUACUGCUCUUCUCAGCAUGAAGGUGUUAAAUUAUAUUAAAAGCAUUUCUUC
rnacentral:lncRNA from 1 species